AAACAAAGAAAGGAGAUGUCAGUUGUAAAAUGCGACCCUAAAAAACCUAUCAGAUAUGAUAAGACCAAAUUAGGAAAGUGACCGCCUCUUCACUUUCUUCUUCAUUACAUCUAUGAAUUUGAUGAAAUUUCGGUGAAAUGACGGUCAGAAAUGUUCAGCUUCGUCUAUCUUCUUUCUCGUUAAAAAUCGAUUCCACACAAUGAUGAUGAAAACUUUCUGAGCUUCUUGUUGUUCUUUGCUUGCUUCUCAGCUUCCAUCUUAUGUAUUUUACUUAGAAUUGAAAAGGUUACUCUCUUAUGAGGUUUGAAAAUUUAAAUCCGAAAUUUAAAUUGAGAUUUAUGUGCAUUUCAUCUUAGGUAUUUAAAAUUCUCACAAACGCCAUGAAAUCACCCAAUCAGAGGCUUCUCCAUUUCAACCAACACAGAUCCAUAUUUCCUGACUUCAGAUAAGUUCUUUCCUUUUUCUCUUCUUUCUUAUCUACCUGAUGAUAGUUGAGAUUUUCAUCUGCUUCUUCUUUUUUAAUAGGUUGAGCUCAAACGAGGAGCUAAUACCACCGUUCUAAAAAUUUGAAGCAAGCUUUAAUCCAAAUAAAUCAAGUUACAUGGGGCUGAUACCUACUUGUUGGACUCCUUUCUCCUUCAUUUGAUGUGAUACUAUAUCAUGCAAUAUUUUCACAGGCCUGGAAUUUGUACAAAGAACUGCUAUCUCAUGCUUUUUUUCCCUCUCCAUUCCAGCCAUAUCCAAUAUCAACAUGUUGUUGGAUACCUUAGGAUAGGAUCCCACUAAAUCGAUCCUUUCCAAAGAUGGUAUUAAUCUGCAAAGGUUCUUGAUAAAUGGCUUGUGCUAACUAAUGUUGUAUGCCCAUUUUCUCCACCUGCUCUGUAGUGUUUUUUGCAAUUUAUUGCAUACAACCGAUGACUUUUAUGAUACUGCACCAUCUCUAUUUAAGCACUUUUUACAAUUUCUGUUACUUCUUUCCUUGAUACAACAUCACUUGCUUCAAUAAGGUUUUACUUUCCUUGUCUCUUCAUUAACUGAAUUGUCCUUGUAGCUCUGAAGUGUAGUUGACUUUGGAUGGUAAUUUUCAGGUUGCACUUUACUGUGAUGAGCCCUUUCCUGAUAUUCUAUGUUGUUCUCUCUGUUCCCAGAUAUCUCAGCAUCUUGUAUUGAUUGACUUCUAUAUUGCUUUUCUCCUUUAGAUGUUGAACCCUUUGUACUACUAUGGAAUGUCUUAUCUACCCAAUCUCUAGUUCUAUCAUUAUGUUGUAAAAAUUGGUCAGUAAUUUUAACCUCUUUGCCUUUUCCUCUACUUGAUCCUGCUGAUUCAAAGCUUUAAAUUGGUUGUUGAUACUGAUGAUAUUAUUUCUCUCUCCCGUCUUGUCGCUCAUGAGUUUAACUUUCUUUUUGUAAAGAAUCUAUUUGUAGGAUUUCAUUUAGUGAUCAAAGCAACCUUGUACACAUUUCUUUGCUUUGGUAAAUCCUCACCCAUUGCACCUUGCUCUUGUUUGUCAUUCCUUUACUGUAACUUUGGGUGCAAAAUUCUACAAUCAUCUUUAUUAUGCCCCUGCAGUUUGCACUUCUUGCAGUAGGAUGGAAUAUCAUCAUAUUGGAUUUUAACCUAUAUAAUUUUACUCUCCUGAUUUUCAUUACUUUGUGUCUCCAUGUGUACAUAACUCAGGUUUAUUUGCAAGCAAGUCCAGCUGAGCCUUUACCCUAACACAACUAGCGCGAGUCUUAUUGAUGGUUGCUGAAUCCAGAUGAAAUGGGUUUUCCAACUGAUGAUGUCAAUGAAAAUAACACCUCUUUAACAAAGAAUGUGGGCAAAAGAUCUGGGAAGGAAAUCCAAGUGGUCAACUGUGAUGUUUCUUCCCUAACCUUAAAAGUUUGCGUCACAUAUAAAUGGAUGUAUUUGCUAUGCAUAUUCAUCUUUUGCAAUUAUGUAACAAAUGUCUUUCGCUAAUAUAUUAAUGUAAUCCUAAAUCCGUUCAGGUCUCA